rnacentral:rRNA from 1 species
CAAUAGCGUAUAUUAAAGUUGUUGCAGUUAAAAAGCUCGUAGUUGGACUUGUGCGUGCUCCCGAUGUCCUUUUUGGUACGUUCGGGGGUGUGCAUGCUUGGGUGGAACCUGCGUGGCAUUAGGUUGUCGUGCAGGGGAUGCUCAUCGUUUACUGUGAAAAAUUAGAGUGUUCAAAGCAGGCUUACGCCGUUGAAUAUAUUAGCAUGGAAUAAUAAGAUAGGACCUUGGUACUAUUUUGUUGGUUUGCGCACCGAGGUAAUGAUUAACAGGGACAGUUGGGGGUAUUCGUAUUCCAUUGUCAGAGGUGAAAUUCUUGGAUUUUUGGAAGACGAACUACUGCGAAAGCAUUUACCAAGGAUGUUUUCAUUAAUCAAGAACGAAAGUUAGGGGAUCGAAGACGAUUAGAUACCAU